CAAGAUUUAGUUUAAUUUAAAACUCUAGCUUUGGGGGUUAAAAAUGUUCCUUAACAAUCUUGA
rnacentral:tRNA from 1 species